rnacentral:rRNA from 1 species
UACGUAGGGUGCGAGCGUUAAUCGGAAUUACUGGGCGUAAAGCGUGCGCAGGCGGUUUUGUAAGCCAGAUGUGAAAUCCCCGGGCUUAACCUGGGAAUGGCAUUUGGGACUGCAAGGCUGGAGUUUGGCAGAGGAGACUGGAAUUCCUGGUGUAGCAGUGAAAUGCGUAGAUAUCAGGAGGAAUACCGAUGGCGAAGGCAGGUCUCUGGGCUAUAACUGACGCUCAUGACACGAAAGCGUGGGGAGCAAACAGG